rnacentral:rRNA from 1 species
UACGAAGGGGGCUAGCGUUGCUCGGAAUCACUGGGCGUAAAGGGUGCGUAGGCGGGUCUUUUAAGUCAGGGGUGAAAUCCUGGAGCUCAACUCCAGAACUGCCUUUGAUACUGAAGAUCUUGAGUUCGGGAGAGGUGAGUGGAACUGCGAGUGUAGAGGUGAAAUUCGUAGAUAUUGGGAAGAACACCGGUGGCGAAGGCGGCUCACUGGCCCGUAACUGACGCUCAUGCGACGACAGCGUGGGGAUCAAACAGG